ensembl:lncRNA
CUCAGUGGCGGUGGGAGAGCCUGUAGAGGUGCUCAGUCCCUGGCUAGGUGAAGUACGGAGUGCUCAUUCCCUGAGGGUGGCGGCACGGUACUCUGUCCCUCACCAGCAGUGGGCUGCACGGAGGUGCUCAGGCCCUCGGUGGCGGUGGGUGGCCCGGAGGUGCUCGGUCCCUCACCAGCGGUGGACUGCACGGAGGUGCUCGGUCCCUCAUCAGGGGUGGGCACCACGGAGGUGCUUGGUCCCUCAGAGGCUGUGGGCGGCACGGAGGUGCUCGUUCCCUCACCAGGGGUGGCCGGCACGGAGGUGCUCGGUUCCUCAGAGGAAGUGGGCGGCCUGGAGGUGUUCCAAGCCCCACUCAGAGGCGUGGCAAUCACAGGAGUGCACAGCCCGCCAGAAUGAUGGGGAGGCCCGGAGGUGCUUAGGCCCUCACUGGGGGUGGCCAGCAGGGAGGUGCCAGGUCCCUCAGAGACGGUGGGCUGCCCAGAGGCGCUUGAGACCUCAGAGAUGGUGGGCGGCACAAAGGUGCUUGGGCCCUCAGCGGAGGUGGGCAGAACGGAGGUGCUUGGGCCCUCAGAGGCACAGAGACCCUGAAGGAUCUGGGAAUCGCUGGGACCCUGGGGGACGUCUGAGCCUGGCAUAUCAGCGGGGAAACCGGGGGCAUUAGGGGCCUGCAUUUCGUCCCAGCUGCUGUUGUGCGCAGUGGCCUUUGCAACGCGGCGGCGGCGGCGGCGCGAAUUCUGGCUUACCAGAGACAUGGUCCUGCCGACCGGCGUGUAGGAGCAGACACAGACAGGCCCGCGAUCUGGCACAGACGACUGGAGGUGUGUAGGUGCCUCGGCACAAAACUGCCGCUAGCGGUAAUGAUGUUGCUGCUGCUGCCAGAACCAAAGUUCCAAGCAACUUGCUGAAGCUGAGAUUAGAGGUGGUGGAAAACGCAGGCACUGGCCAGCAGUGAAUGCUAGUCUCAGUGUACUCUGCUUCUCACACCCCGCCCUCUGCCGCAGUCCGCGCAGGCGCAGACUGGCUCUGCGGCAAGGCGAAAUCGCCCCGCCCCGCCCCUCCCCUGGGCCUGAGAAAGUGGAUGCGGUGGUUCUGCACCAAAGGAGAACACUAGCAGAAGGGAAAUUUUGGUAGGAUGAAACAAGGAGCUUAGAGUAGAUGCAUAGGGAACAAAAAUGGAAAUAAUAAUAAAUACUUCUCAGAUUUAGGGUACGAUUGGAGGGCUUCUACACAGAGUGCCAGGCACUUAAUAGAUUCUCAAAAUUGGUAAUUAUCAUUGAGAUUUGCAGUUUUCCCGAAGCUGUUUCAAACAAAAUGUGCGUUGUCUCUGGAAGGGUAGAACCCCCAUCCCUGACCAUGUCGUUUCUAUCACUUUCUCCAUUUAUAUGUCUAACUCCUCCCCUAAUGCUGUGAGCUAGAAAGAACUCUUACCUAGAGGGUCUGAAUGCCUGAUAUUUAGUACCCAUUAGGGAGCUUCGAACAAGCUUGAAAAGCCCAACAUUCCUAGCCCAAACUUUCCCAGUCCCCCAGGCUUUAGUGGGAAAGCCACUAACACUCUUGAAAAUUUGUUUAAUUCUUUCACUCCACAAUCAUCUGCUCAUUUAAUAGAGCUUUUGUGAAAGUCAGUUGAGAUACCGAGUGUUAAGGGAUGUUACCUGCUCUGUUUUGCCCUAUUACUUUAGCACUUUUGAGCAUAUCCAACCCUGAUCCCUUUUAUUCAUUCAUUCCACAAACACUGGUCAUCUAUCCAGAAGUUACAGAGUUCAUUUCUUUGUCAUCAAGGAGCACCCAGUGUAAAAAUGGGAGUCAAAGAAAAAGUGAAACCAAAUUUUCUAGAAGUUUGUAAAGAAUGCAGGGGAGGCAGGGUCAGUUCUACCUGUAGGUGCAGACAAGGCUUCAUAAAAGAGGAGAUGUUUAAAAAGAUGAGUGGGUACGUAUUUACCAAAAGGACAAGGAUGAGAAAAUCAUUCCAACUGAGAGUAGCAUGGCAGCAGUGAGUAAGAAAGAAAACACUGAAGAGCACAGGCAGGCUGUUUUUAGAAGCAGGGGAGAGGGAGGAAGAGAGAUAGAGGGAAAACACUAACUUUCUGACACUCACGCAACCAAUACAGUUUAGCUUACCACUAUUGACCCUCUAUUGAUAUGAUUGUAUCUUGCUGCAAACAUUUAUUAUAUGUUGUCUUUCUUAAUAUCUCCUCAAAAAUCUGGGAGUAUACUUUUUUUUAUACUUUAAGUUUUGGGGUACAUGUGCAGAAUGUGCAGAUUUGUUACGUAGGUAUACACGUGCCAUGGUUGUUUGCUGCACCCAUCAACCCAUCAUCUCCAUUAGGUAUUCUCCUAAUGCUCUCCCUCCCCUAUCUCCCCGCCCCCUGACAGGCCCUGGUGUGUGAUGUUCCCCUCCCUGUGUCCAUGUGUUGUAAUUGUUCAAUUCCCACUUAUGAGUGAGAACAUGUGGUGUUUGGUUUCCUGUUCUUGUGUUAGUUUUCUGAGAAUGAUGGUUUCCAGCUUCAUCCAUGUCCCUGCAAAGGACGUGAACUCAUCCUUUUUUAUGGUUGCAUAGUAUUCCAUGGUGCAUAUGUGCCACAUUUUCUUUAUCCAGUCUGUCAUUGAUGGACAUUUGGGUUGGUUCCAAUACUUUUUUUUAUACCUCUUUAGGAAAGGGAAAAUAAUGGCUACAGUCACAAUGUGUCGCCAUCUCCAUCUCCAAUUGGAGAAGCAAUCCCUUAUAUGCAUAACCAGUUCUGGUUCUGUGAAGUCCAAUGCAGUUAUUGUGCCCGGGGCCUAUUCAGAAUGGGAGGCACAAAAAAACCUAAGAUAUUUCUAAACUUCAGCAACAGAUAUUCCUAACCUAGGGCACAGUGAUUUUUAAAGACCCUGAAGUUGUUCAAACCUAUAAACUAAAAA